rnacentral:rRNA from 1 species
AUGCCGAAAAAAACUUUUUUUAAAUUAAAAAUUGAAGUUUUUUUAAUUUGUGCAGACCCAAUUAUUUAUAUUAAAGACAAGAAGACCCUAUGAAUUUAUUAAAUUUUUAUUUAAUAUGUAAUUACUAUUAGAAAAAUUUGGCUGGGGCGGCUAGAAAAUAUUAUAAACUUUUUAAAAAUAAAAUGAUCCAUUAUUAAUGAUUUUAUGUUAAAUACUCUAGGGAUAACAGCGUUAUAUUUUUUGAUAGAUCAUAUGAC